UACGUAGGGUGCAAGCGUUGUCCGGAAUUAUUGGGCGUAAAGAGCGUGUAGGCGGCCAGGUAGGUCUGCUGUGAAAACUCGAGGCUCAACCUCGAGCUGUCGGUGGAAACUGUCUGGCUAGAGUCCGGAAGAGGAGAGUGGAAUUCCCGGUGUAGCGGUGAAAUGCGCAGAUAUCGGGAGGAACACCAAUGGCGAAGGCAGCUCGCUGGGACGUUACUGACGCUGAGACGCGAAAGCGUGGGGAGCAAACAGG
rnacentral:rRNA from 1 species